rnacentral:rRNA from 1 species
AUUGAACGCUGGCGGCAGGCCUAACACAUGCAAGUCGAGCGGUAGAGAGGUGCUUGCAUCUCUUGAGAGCGGCGGACGGGUGAGUAAUGCCUAGGAAUCUGCCUGGUAGUGGGGGAUAACGCUCGGAAACGGACGCUAAUACCGCAUACGUCCUACGGGAGAAAGCAGGGGACCUUCGGGCCUUGCGCUAUCAGCUGAGCCUAGGUCGGAUUAGCUAGUUGGUGAGGUAAUGGCUCACCAAGGCGACGAUCCGUAACUGGUCUGAGAGGAUGAUCAGUCACACUGGAACUGAGACACGGUCCAGACUCCUACGGGAGGCAGCAGUGGGGAAUAUUGGACAAUGGGCGAAAGCCUGAUCCAGCCAUGCCGCGUGUGUGAAGAAGGUCUUCGGAUUGUAAAGCACUUUAAGUUGGGAGGAAGGGUCGUUACCUAAUACGUGACGAUUUUGACGUUACCGACAGAAUAAGCACCGGCUAACUCUGUGCCAGCAGCCGCCGUAACAC